UAAUGACAUAAUAGUCAGUUGUACCUUUAAAUAUGUGUUUGUCAAAGCAUAUUGGAUUCAUUUAGUCUGUUAUAAUAAUGAAGACAGUAAUGACAUAAUAGUCAGUUGUACCUUUAAAUAUGUGUUUGUCAAAGCAUAUUGGAUUCAUUUAGUCUGUUAUAAUAAUGAAGACAGUAAUGACAUAAUAGUCAGUUGUACCUUUGAGAUUAAAACAUAUGUUUAAAUCAGUGUAAAUGUGGAGUGUUUGUGUGUGUUUUGUGUGUUUGUCAGUGUGUGUGUGUGUGUGUGUAGUGUGUGGUUGUCAGUGUGUGUGUGUAAUGUGUGUUUGUCAGUGUGUAGUGUGUGUGUCUCAGUGUGUAAUGUGUGUUUGUCAGUGUUUGUGUGUGUGUAUGUGUGUGUUUGACAGUGUGUGUGUGUGUGUGUAGUGUGUGUUUGUAAUGUGUGUUUGUCAGUGUGUGUGUUUGUAGAGAAAGAGGAGGUGUAUACUAGAACCAGCACAGAGAGAACAGACUGAGGACAGACCUUAUUGAAUGUACUGUGACAGGAGUAGUGUAGGGUGUAGUGAAGGUACUGUGACAGGAGUAGUGUAGGGUGUAGUGAAGGUACUGUAACAGGAGUAGUGUAGGGUGUAGUGAAGGUACUGUAACAGGAGUAGUGUAGGGUGUAGUGAAGGUACUGUAACAGGAGUAGUGUAGGGUGUAGUGAAG
ensembl:lncRNA